rnacentral:rRNA from 1 species
GAUGAACGCUGGCGGCGUGCCUAAUACAUGCAAGUCGAGCGAACAGACGAGGAGCUUGCUCCUCUGACGUUAGCGGCGGACGGGUGAGUAACACGUGGAUAACCUACCUAUAAGACUGGGAUAACUUCGGGAAACCGGAGCUAAUACCGGAUAACAUGUUGAACCGCAUGGUUCAACAGUGAAAGACGGUCUUGCUGUCACUUAUAGAUGGAUCCGCACCGCAUUAGCUAGUUGGUAAGGUAACGGCUUACCAAGGCAACGAUGCGUAGCCGACCUGAGAGGGUGAUCGGCCACACUGGAACUGAGACACGGUCCAGACUCCUACGGGAGGCAGCAGUAGGGAAUCUUCCGCAAUGGGCGAAAGCCUGACGGAGCAACGCCGCGUGAGUGAAGAAGGUCUUCGGAUCGUAAAACUCUGUUAUUAGGGAAGAACAAAUGUGUAAGUAACUAUGCACGUCUUGACGGUACCUAAUCAGAAAGCCACGGCUAACUACGUG